rnacentral:rRNA from 1 species
UUCCUACGGGGGGCUGCAGUGGGGAAUUUUGGACAAUGGGGGCAACCCUGAUCCAGCCAUGCCGCGUGAGUGAAGAAGGCCUUCGGGUUGUAAAGCUCUUUCGGACGGAACGAAAUGGUUACGGUCAAUACCCGUGACUGAUGACGGUACCGUAAGAAGAAGCACCGGCUAACUACGUGCCAGCAGCCGCGGUAAUACGUAGGGUGCGAGCGUUAAUCGGAAUUACGGGGCGUAAAGCGUGCGCAGGCGGUGUCGUAAGCUGGAGGUGAAAGCCCCGGGCGUAACCUGGGAAUGGCCUUCAGGACUGCGAGGCUAGAGUGCGGCAGAGGGAGGUGGAAUUCCACGUGUAGCAGUGAAAUGCGUAGAUAUGUGGAGGAACACCGAUGGCGAAGGCAGCCUCCUGGGCCAGCACUGACGCUCAUGCACGAAAGCGUGGGGAGCAAACAGGAUUAGAUACCCUUGUAGUCUAA